CAGAAACGUUUCUAACAAAUCACUGUAAAGUAUGAGGUUUUCUGAGAGUUUUCGAGUUUCACCCUGAUUUUCAUGGUUGUAACAUCAGAAAAUAUCACUUCUGGGGGAAAAAAGUGCCUGAUACAUUAGCUCAACCUCUAAGAGAUGACUUUCCUAGACUCCAGCGGAAUGAGAAUGAACCUCAAGAAUCUGAG